CAGAACCCCUAUGAAUGAAGGUGAUCACAUGACCACUUCAGUACCCGUCCUGUCCUUCUGUGGAACGACCACCUUAAUGUGGUUCAGGAGUUUGAUUAGCCCUAUGAUGCUGGGGGCUUUUCUGUCCACAGCUUUGCCCUUUGGAUGAUCUCAAUGAUAGUAGAGCACAGUGGUUGGUAAACCUUAGAGAGAUUAACCAGCCCUGGAUCCAGAGAUAGUGGGGACUUUGCCAGUGGGAACCUGGAGGUUCCAUAAUUUCCUGGAAUUUGGCCUGACUUGGGUCAGAAACUAUAGGAAGCCUCUUCAAGGAAGAAAGAUCAAAUCGGGCAGAGUAUGAGCUGGGUGGCAAGCAGGGCCCUCUACUUUAGCUUCUGGAGAAUGGAUUCUUUCUUACCUUCUCUGUAAAUCUAUAACUUUUCACUAAAUCACAAAACAUCUUUUAUUUGAUACUGUCAGCUAUCUCCUUCAGGAUGGUGUCAGUUUAAAAGCAUUGCAUGAUUAGUGGAGUGUAUUAUCACCAAAUUUGCUCCUGUAUACAAUACAAAAGUUUUAAAAAGUCUCAUAGAUUUCAACAAUAAACUGACUAAAACGAAAAGGAAAGUGCUAAGUACACAGAAGUGCAAUGUAAUAAAAUCUCCUUAACACCCAGUAGCUUGCUGCAGCUACAAAUACAGGUCAAAGGAGACACAAUCACAUGGUUAAAGUGUGUGAUAAAAGUAAAUUCAUGACAUGCUGAUGACACACCAGCUUCAGGAACUCUGUCCUCUUCAGACCUUAUAAGGAGAUUAUUCCUUGGAGUCGCUAUCAGACAGACUGACUGACAUGCUGACGGCUCACAGAGAGGAUGUCGGGUAGAUGAGACGUUCAGUCAACACAAAUCAUCCGGCGCUUGGCUCCCUCUCAGAAAGAUGGGCUGACAGUGAGGGAGGAACGAAGACCUGAGGUUUUCUGUCUGGACCAAAAAACGCAGAGUUUGACCUUAUAAGAUUGAUCUAAUGUGGCUACUAAUCUUCAUGCUGAAGAUUAGCUUGCAGAAGAUGACCAUCCUUCCCCUCCAGCCACUGUGAGGGCCGAGUUUGUGUCUGCUGGCAGUGCGGUCCUCCCACUCUGUCUCAACCUGGGCUUUAAUCCACCCAGCCAGGCCUCAGAAAGUCCUCCCAGCUGCUUACCCAGAGAGGGCGUGAACUUCCCAAUGGCAUCUGGACAGAAUAACAGCUUAUUAAAUAACUUAAUGAUUGUUCUGCUCCUGUUCAGUAGAUUUGUUCCCACAACAUUUAUAUUGUCACUGUUGUACAAUCCAUAGUUAGUGUAAAAAUCUAUCUGUAGUUUACUUUUCUGCCCUCUUGAUCAGAAAGUGUAGCUGUGUGUGGAGACGUCUACUGCCAUACUCAUGCACUUUUUAACAUAUGAUUUCAUUUAGGAACUAAUACAAGAGUCAUUCUUCCAUGCAAACAAAGAACAUACAUCUAUUUAUUUGUUUCACGUGCAACUUUUCAAAUUUGUUUGGAUUUUUUUUAGAUUUUAACCAUAAUCCAAUUUCUUCACUCUUUUGCUGCACUGCAAGAUCUCACUUUUGGCAUGCCACACCCAUUCCCCCUGAGUCCCUGGUAGGAAAUAAUUUUGGUUUCUACUUGUGGGGGUGUCCCUUUAAUAUUGUGCUGCUUGGAUGCCAAGUACAGUAACUAUGUGUGAGCAGCUCCCUCUUCUGGAUUACCAGGAUAUUAUACUGAUUUUACACCAAUUCUUUUUCUUGUACAGAUUAAAC